CUUCUCCCAGUUGUAAGCUGGCCCAGAGCAACGGUUGGGGCGUGAUGGUCAGUCACCGCUCCGGCGAGACCGAGGACACCUUCAUUGCCGACCUGGUGGUGGGACUCUGCACCGGGCAGAUCAAAACCGGAGCUCCCUGCCGCUCGGAGCGCCUGGCCAAGUACAACCAGCUGAUGAGGAUCGAGGAAGAGCUGGGCGAGCAAGCGCACUUUGCCGGCCGCAAAUUCCGUCACCCGCUGGC